rnacentral:rRNA from 1 species
CAAUAGCGUAUAUUAAAGUUGUUGCAGUUAAAAAGCUCGUAGUUGAAUUUCGGGUCCCCGCGCUCGGCGCUUCAUUGUGCCGUCGUGGUGUCCCUCCUCGCCGUAAGGCGUCCUUUACUGUGAAAAAAUUAGAGUGUUCAAAGCAGGCAAUCGCUUGAAUACAUUAGCAUGGAAUAAUAAGGUAGGAUCUUGUCUAUUUUGUUGGUUGCGGACAACGAUAAUGAUUAAUAGGGAUAGUUGGGGGUGUCCGUAUUGAGCUGUCAGAGGUGAAAUUCUUGGAUUUGCUCAAGACGAACUACUGCGAAAGCAUUCACCAAGGAUGUUUUCAUUAA